CUGGCGAGGCGGUGGUAGACCAGACCUUGGCCGGAGCUAGGCCGGUGCCCGGAGGAGGAGAGAGGGUUUGAGAGAAAUUUUUGUUUUUUUUUUUGAAGAAGAGAAGUGAAAAUGAAGUUUUUUUAAAUUUUUUUUGUUUAUAUAGCAGGUUAAAUGACGUCGUUUUGGCCUGUAUGCAUAGGUCCCAAAACAGCGCCGUUUUGGCCUAGCCUGAUCCAGCCGACCCGACCCGCUAGUGGGAUCCGCGUGUUUUUGAGGAAGGGUCUAUUUGCGCAUUUAGCCCUUCCUCUUUUUAAUUAUUUUGCAAUCAAGUUUCCUUUAAGUUUUUU
rnacentral:lncRNA from 1 species